GGGGUAGAGUUCUUCGGGACUUGAGACCGGCGCACGGGUGCGUAACGCGUAUGCAAUCUACCUUAUACAGGGGAAUAGCCCAGAGUAAAUUUGGAUUAAUGCCCCAUAGUGUUAUCGAAUCGCAUGGUUUGAUAACUAAAGUUCCAACGGUAUAAGAUGAGCAUGCGUCCCAUUAGUUAGUUGGUAAGGUAACGGCUUACCAAGACAAUGAUGAGUAGGGGUCCUGAGAGGGAGAUCCCCCCACACUGGUACUGAGACACGGACCAGACUCCUACGGGAGGCAGCAGUGAGGAAUAUUGGUCAAUGGGCGCAAGCCUGAACCAGCCAUGCCGCGUGCAGGAAGACGGUCCUAUGGAUUGUAAACUGCUUUUAUACAGGAAGAAACCCUCCCACGUGUGGGAGCUUGACGGUACUGUAGGAAUAAGGAUCGGCUAACUCCGUG
rnacentral:rRNA from 1 species